rnacentral:rRNA from 1 species
CAGCCGCCACGGUAAUACGUAGGGUGCAAGCGUUAAUCGGAAUUACUGGGCGUAAAGCGUGCGCAGGCGGUUAUAUAAGACAGAUGUGAAAUCCCCGGGCUCAACCUGGGAACUGCAUUUGUGACUGUAUAGCUAGAGUACGGCAGAGGGGGAUGGAAUUCCGCGUGUAGCAGUGAAAUGCGUAGAUAUGCGGAGGAACACCGAUGGCGAAGGCAAUCCCCUGGGCCUGUACUGACGCUCAUGCACGAAAGCGUGGGGAGCAAACAGGAUUAGAUACCCCUGUAGUCCCUGUCUCUUAUAC